GCGGAUAUAGUUCAUUGGUAGAACGCCAGCUUCCCAAGCUGGAGAGGCGGGUUCGAUUCCCGUUAUCCGCU
rnacentral:tRNA from 1 species